AGUGACUUUAGCACCUACAUAAAUCUUGUUAGAUGGUGUGGUCAAGCUGCAAAAAGAAAAGGCUAGUUAAUUCAUGAAUACAUCGAGAAACAAUGAAGAAGGGAAGAUGUGAAAGAACUUCCUCGAAUGUAGGAGUCUAAAGCAUCCUAUUGCCGAAAGCUGACAUAUGACUCCAACUUUUUUGCAUCGGCUCAUAGCAAGGACCCAUGAA
rnacentral:lncRNA from 1 species